rnacentral:rRNA from 1 species
UAGGGAAUCUUCGGCAAUGGACGAAAGUCUGACCGAGCAACGCCGCGUGAGUGAAGAAGGUUUUCGGAUCGUAAAACUCUGUUGUUAGAGAAGAACAAGGACGUUAGUAACUGAACGUCCCCUGACGGUAUCUAACCAGAAAGCCACGGCUAACUACGUGCCAGCAGCCGCGGUAAUACGUAGGUGGCAAGCGUUGUCCGGAUUUAUUGGGCGUAAAGCGAGCGCAGGCGGUUUCUUAAGUCUGAUGUGAAAGCCCCCGGCUCAACCGGGGAGGGUUAUUUGAAACUGGGAGACUUGAGGGCAGAAGAAGAGAGUGGAAUUCCAUGGGUAGCGGGGAAAUGCGUAGAUAUAUGGAGGAACACCAGUGGCGAAGGCGGCUCUCUGGUCUGUAACUGACGCUGAGGCUCGAAAGCGUGGGGAGCAAACAGG